CCCGCAAGGGGAGCGGCAGACGGGUGAGUCACCCGUGGGUAUCUACCUAGUGGUGCGGAAUAGCCCAGGGAAACUUGGAGUAAUACCGCAUAAGCCCGAAAGGGGAAAGAUUUAUCGCCAUUAGAUGAGCCCGCGUUGGAUUAGCUAGUUGGUGGGGUAACGGCCCACCAAGGCGACGAUCCAUAGCUGGUCUGAGAGGAUGAUCAGCCACACUGGGACUGAGACACGGCCCAGACUCCUACGGGAGGCAGCAGUGGG
rnacentral:misc_RNA from 1 species